AAUGCAGUUACACACACACACACACACACACACACACGACAUACACACACACAAAUCUGUCAUUCUCUGGUUCACUCCCCAAAUGGGCGCAAUGGUCAGGUUGGGCCAGGGGAAGCCGGGAGCCUGGGACUCCAUCGAGGUCUCCCAUUGGGUAGUGGGGCUCCAAGUACUUGGGCCAGCUUCUACUCUUCCAGGAGCAACAGCAGGGAGCUGGAUCUGAAAUGGAGCAGCAGGGACGGGAAUGGGGCUCAGAGGAGCUGCAGGACCUCAGGCAGCGGCUUCACCCGCUGUUCACAGUGCCGGCCACCCCACCCCACUUUCCUUUCCUCAUUCUUUCUCUUUCUUUUCUCCCUGCCCCCCACCCCGUGUGCUCCCCUCCCCCACCCCCACCCCGCCGUGCUAAGGGAGGCUCCGCCCAGGCCAGCUCCUCCCUCCUCCUCUGCUCUUGAGCCUCCUCUGCUCUGUCCUCCCAGGCAGUCCCCUGCUGGCCUUAGUACCAAGAGGACAGGGAUGAGCGGCUCCUCUCCAGCGGGCUGGGCUCCUGGACAUCCAAGCGCCAUGGGCUACUCCCAGUUACCCUGUGAUGACAUUGACACAGCCUCGUACAAGAUGCUGGACGAGUCCAGUCUGGAGUCACUGGAGGACAGCAUCAACGAGGUCUUGUUGGACAACGUAGAGAGCCACUUUCGUAACAACCUGGAGACCAUUCCUUUGUCUUCUGACAUGCAACUGGAGUUGCGAUCUCGGGUCAAGAGGCCGUCGGGCUCUGGGCAGAGAUACGAGCAGUUAGGCGGCGAGCAGUCCAGGCAGAGCUUCUGGGAAACGCUGCGGCGGUGGUUCCGGGCAAUGCUGGGCCGGCUGCAGCAGCGCUGGCAGCGUGCGUUGGCCUGGCUGCAGGAGCUGGUGGCCGCCGGGGUGCAGGCCUUGCGCAGCGCCGUCGAGCUCGUGUGGCGCACACUGAAGCGUUUCCGCUGCUCCCUGAUGAAGUGGCUUGGGCUGCCCCUUGGGGUCUAGGGAGCUCAAAGCCCUGCGCUCCCCGCUUCUUAAAGUCUUUGAAGUGUCUACGCCUUCCUGCGCACCCUGGGCCCAUCAUUACCUCCCGCCCCCAGCCCCUUCCUGCCUGACCUGCAGAGCUGACCGGCUACUCUCGCUCUACUGCCUUAAUAAAAGAUGCUGGAAAGAAACCCA
rnacentral:lncRNA from 1 species